rnacentral:piRNA from 1 species
UAGAAGUUCGUUGAAUGCUUGUUGGAC